UACGUAGGGGGCAAGCGUUGUCCGGAUUUAUUGGGCGUAAAGAGCGUGUAGGCGGCUGGGUAGGUCCGUUGUGAAAUCGCCCGGCUCAACUGGGCGGGGUCAGCGGAUACGGCGGAGCUUGAGCAAGCUAGGGGGCAAUGGAAUUCCCGGUGUAGUGGUGGAAUGCGUAGAUAUCGGGAGGAACACCAGUGGCGAAGGCGGUUGCCUGGGGCUUUGCUGACGCUGAUGCGCGAAAGCGUGGGGAGCGAUCCGG
rnacentral:rRNA from 1 species